rnacentral:miRNA from 12 species
CUGCGCCCGGCCGCGGGGGGAGCGGAGCGGAGCGGAGCGGAGCGGAGCGGGGCGAGGCC